rnacentral:rRNA from 1 species
UACGAAGGGGGCUAGCGUUGUUCGGAAUUACUGGGCGUAAAGCGCGCGUAGGCGGCUUUGUAAGUUAGAGGUGAAAGCCCGGAGCUCAACUCCGGAACUGCCUUUAAGACUGCAUCGCUAGAACGUCGGAGAGGUAAGUGGAAUUCCGAGUGUAGAGGUGAAAUUCGUAGAUAUUCGGAAGAACACCAGUGGCGAAGGCGACUUACUGGACGACUGUUGACGCUGAGGUGCGAAAGCGUGGGGAGCAAACAGG